CCUACGGGCGGCAGCAGUGAGGAAUAUUGGUCAAUGGACGUGAGUCUGAACCAGCCAAGUAGCGUGCAGGAUGACUGCCCUAUGGGUUGUAAACUUCUUUUAUACAGGAAUAAAACGCGUCACGUGUGCUUUUUUGUAUGUACUUCAUGAAUAAGGACCGGCUAAUUCCGUGCCAGCAGCCGCGGUAAUACGGAGGAUCCGAGCGUUAUCCGGAUUUAUUGGGUUUAAAGGGAGCGUAGAUGGGUUGUUAAGUCAGUUGUGAAAGUUUGCGGCUCAACCGUGGAAUUGCGAUUGAUACUGGCAGGCUUGAGUACAGUUGAGGUAGGCGGAAUUCGUGGUGUAGCGGUGAAAUGCUUAGAUAUCACGAAGAACCCCGAUUGCGAAGGCAGCUUACUAAAGUGUGACUGACAUUGAUGCUCGAAGGUGUGGGUAUCAAACAGGAUUAGAUACCCUUGUAGUC
rnacentral:rRNA from 1 species